rnacentral:rRNA from 1 species
AACACAUGCAAGUCGAGCGGCCAGCACAGAGGAACUUGUUCCUUGGGUGGCGAGCGGCGGACGGGUGAGUAAUGCCUAGGAAAUUGCCCUGAUGUGGGGGAUAACCAUUGGAAACGAUGGCUAAUACCGCAUGAUGCCUACGGGCCAAAGAGGGGGACCUUCGGGCCUCUCGCGUCAGGAUAUGCCUAGGUGGGAUUAGCUAGUUGGUGAGGUAAUGGCUCACCAAGGCGACGAUCCCUAGCUGGUCUGAGAGGAUGAUCAGCCACACUGGAACUGAGACACGGUCCAGACUCCUACGGGAGGCAGCAGUGGGGAAUAUUGCACAAUGGGCGCAAGCCUGAUGCAGCCAUGCCGCGUGUAUGAAGAAGGCCUUCGGGUUGUAAAGUACUUUCAGUCGUGAGGAAGGUGGUGUUGUUAAUAGCAGCAUCAUUUGACGUUAGCGACAGAAGAAGCACCGGCUAACUCCGUGCCAGCAGCCGCGGUAAUACGGAGGGUGCGAGCGUUAAUCGGAAUUACUGGGCGUAAAGCGCAUGCAGGUGGUGGAUUAAGUCAGAUGUGAAAGCCCGGGGCUCAACCUCGGAACCGCAUUUGAAACUGGUUCACUAGAGUACUGUAGAGGGGGGUAGAAUUUC